CCAGACUCCUACGGGAGGCAGCAGUGGGGAAUAUUGCACAAUGGGGGGAACCCUGAUGCAGCGACGCCGCGUGGGUGAAGGAGCACCUCGGUGCGUAAAGCCCUAUCGGCAGGGAAGAAACAGACGGUACCUGACUAAGAAGCCCCGGCUAACUACGUGCCAGCAGCCGCGGUAAUACGUAGGGGGCCAGCGUUAUCCGGAUUCACUGGGUGUAAAGGGAGCGUAGACGGCAGCGCAAGUCUGGAGUGAAAUCCCAUGGCUUAACCAUGGAACUGCUUUGGAAACUGUGCAGCUGGAGUGCAGGAGAGGUAAGCGGAAUUCCUAGUGUAGCGGUGAAAUGCGUAGAUAUUAGGAGGAACACCAGUGGCGAAGGCGGCUUACUGGACUGUAACUGACGUUGAGGCUCGAAAGCGUGGGGAGCAAACAGGAUUAGAUACCCCAGUA
rnacentral:rRNA from 1 species